UCCUGGGGCGCUCCUUGGCUCAUGCCUCCACCCUUUCCAGGUACGAGACUGAGCUGAACCUGCGGAUGACCGUGGAGGCCGACACCAAUGGCCUGCGCAGGGUGCUGGAUGAGCUGACCCUGGCCAGGGCCGACCUGGAGAUGCAGAUCGAGAAUCUCAAAGAGGAGCUGGCCUUCCUGAAGAAGAACCACGAGGAGGUGAGGCUGUCCUGGAAGUGUAGGAGAAACUCACCUGGGAACAAGCAAGGCUGGGGCUCCCAAAUCUUCCUGGGCCAAGGCCAUGCUCUCAGUCUAGUUCUGGCCCUGAACCUGGGAGACCCUCAGGGGGCCCUGCACGAGGCCUGGAGGACCCUCUCCCCCCAAAGAUACUUCCCUUGUCCCUCAAGGCACGACCUAUUGAGUGGUGGCAGUUAACUAUCUGAUGAGCAAAUCAGUCUAAGAACACGCAUGCUAAUUACUCUAAUUAAUUGUAAUAGUGAUAGUCAUAACAACAACCAAAAUCUGCUCAGCACAUUACAAGUGAUUCAUGGCAAUUAUCUCAGCUGAUACUGACAGUGGCCCUGGGAGAAGGGUGCUCUUUCCUUCCCUCACCAGUGAAGAGACUGAGGCUCAGAGAGGUGAAGGGAUUUAUCCAGAGCAGCACAGGUCUUUCUGACCCAUAGCCACACACACGUCUGACGCCACCGCUUUGCCACCUUCUCCCACCUCCCUUUUUCAGAGAGUCUUGGAGUCCUACAGACCCUAAGGCUCAGCCCAAGGGUCAGGAUCCCAGACCCUGUAGGGGGACUAAUGAGCCUCCGGCUUCCUUCUGGGCCAACCUCUGGGCUGGCCCAUGCUAGGGGAGUCUAAUCUUGGAGAAGCAGGAGCCCAGAAAGCGUCUCCACUUGGCUUUGAGGCUGGUCAUACAGAUUGCGUCCCCGCCCCAGCAGAUUAACAUCUCCUAGCAAGUUCUGGUUCUGCAGAUGCCAGCAUGGGACUGCUUCCCCUGUGCGGUUGGGGGCAGGGGACGAGGCGGGUGGUCAGGGAGGUGAGUGAGGCUGUCCCGGCUCAUCCCCUGACGGGCUGGGGAGUUACCGUCUCUCCUCGCCCCGCACACAUUGGAACUGGGCAAAGUCCAUCUCUGAGUGAGAGUUGGAGGAGAUGGUCCAUAUUCACAGCCCUGCAUGUUCAAGACAGGAUCACAUCCACCUCCAUCUUCAAGGGGAGGAGCCAUUGGGCUGUCUGUCUGUGUCUGUCGGUCAUCGGUACCCAUCUCCCUGAGGGAGAGAGGCCCGGCCCCAGGGUCUCUCCCUGGGAUGGCCCUGGUGAGCUCCUGUUCUCCUCUUGCCCAGGAAAUGAACGCUCUGAGAGGCCAGGUGGGCGGGGACGUCAGCGUGGAGAUGGACGCCGCCCCCGGCGUGGACCUGAGCCGCAUCCUGAACGAGAUGCGCGACCAGUACGAGAAGAUGGCGGAGAAGAACCGCAAGGACGCUGAGGACUGGUUCUUCAGCAAGGUGGGUGGCCGUGCGUGAGCAAGUGUGAACUUGCUCCAUACGUGUGCUGGGUCCUGAGAACAGGCUGGAAAACUUGUAGAUCACAGCUGUCCCAGCUGGAAGGACCUUUGGAAACCAGUUGGACCCACUGCUCAUGUCCAGAUGCAGAUUGUGGGGCUCAGAGGGGCCUCAGGCUCACACAAGCCACGCUGCGGCCUGGGGAACGGAUCCAGGGCCCGUCAUCCCUGUCUGGGGCUUCCCCCAGCAUAUUUGUAGGUAGGUGUGUGUUUGGAUGAAUACCUCAUGCCCUUAGUAAACACACACCUAGCAGCUACAGUACCCAGGACAGUAACAGGCACAAAGAGAGUAAAAUCUGUUUUUGCGCAGUGCUCAGUAGGACUAUUGAAUGCAAAGCACGGUGCGUCCACUGAGUCCCAGGGUGGGCACAGAGGGUGUCUGUGUGCGGGUGUGUUUGCAGCCCCCAGAGCCAGGGAGGGGCUGGGGGAGCAGGUCGGGGAGGUCAGGGCUCGGAGGUGGACCCUGUCCUCUGCCCCACCUCUGCAAGCCUUCUCAAGACCCUGUGCGCCCCCCCACCUUCCAGACGGAGGAGCUGAACCGUGAGGUGGCCACCAACACCGAGGCCCUGCAGAGCAGCAGGACGGAGAUCACAGAGCUCCGCCGCUCCGUGCAGAAUCUGGAGAUUGAGCUGCAGUCCCAGCUCAGCAUGGUAGGGCCUCCGACCCCCUCCCUGGCCUGUACCUGUCACCCCAGGGUGGGCCCAGCCUCCUAGACUUCCAUUCGGAGGACCCGAAAUCCCCACCCAGCCUGUCACUUCACAUGGGUCCCUCUCUGCCUCUGUUACUGCCCCAUGGUGCUGGCGGCACCCGCAAACCCACGCGGAUGCGUCCCCCUUCUGGGUGCUGCGCCCUGGAGAAGGGUCCCAGCUGGGUCUCACCCAGCCACCCGUGCUUUGGCCCACAGAAAGCAUCGCUGGAGGGCAGCCUGGCGGAGACCGAGGCCCGCUACGGGGCCCAGCUGGCCCAGUUGCAGGGGCUCAUCAGCAACAUCGAGCAGCAGCUGUGUGAGCUCCGCUGUGACAUGGAGCGCCAGAACAACGAGUACCAGGUACUGCUGGACGUGAAGACACGGCUGGAGCAAGAGAUCGCCACCUACCGCCGCCUGCUGGAGGGCGAGGACGCCCAGUGAGUGGGGGCACUGGGGCACACGCUUGGGUCGGUCGGGGGCCGCUGCAUCCAGGCAGGGACGUUUGUGCUGGGGAGGUGCAGAGGUCUGCAGGAGGUGACACUGGCAGAUACUGGCAGGGGUCCCGCUGUGAGGAGCAUUGAAGGCCGAAUGAAAGUGUCUGGACUAGACGGUGUAGGAAACGGGGAGCCACGGAGGGAUUUUGCACAGAGGAGUGGUACUAUCAUCGAGAUGUCUUAGAACGUUCGCUCUGGCUGCAUAGGGAGAAAUGCAUCAGAAGGGCCCCGGUGGGGGGCAGGGAGACCUGUCUGUCAGGAGGCAGGAGCAGGGAGUCGGGCCAGAGAAGCCCUGCUGUAAGGCGGGGGUGGAGGGCAGGGAGAGGCAGGUGGUGUAUGGAGAGGAUGUGUUGUAGUUAAAAACAGCAGGGCUAGAUGCCUGGACGUGGGGGCGAGCGUGGCUCCCUGGCGGGACGCAACACGUGUUGAGUGAGCCCACGAAGGAGCGGAGGACGAUGACCCUGGGUUUCUGGUUCUGAUGACUGGCUGGUGAUGCCAUUACCCGGGAUGGGAUAAGGAGCCGGGUGGGUGGUGAUCUGGCUUGGAGCUGGGAGGGUACAUCCGGGCCCCAGUGUAAAGGGGCUGAGAAUGUCCUGGAAUCUCCAUGCUAAGUCACACAUUCCAGCUUUUUGCUCCCUGACGAUGGCAAAGCGCACCUAUAGUCUAACCACUCUCUCUCCCGCUUUAAGAGAGUCUGUUUGUUGGGCCCUUUGGGAUAUGGAAAAACCACUUGCUCAGCUUCUCCUUGUAAAUCGCUGGUUAGCCACAAAGUGCCUCUGGGUCUCCUGUGGGGGUGUCCCCUUUCCUUAGUCCUGCCCACGGGGCCGAUGCCCUUUGACCCUUGUGGUAUUCUCAGCUGUGAUUUCUCUCUGGUUUGCUGGGACCUCUCUCCCCUCGCCCUAGUCCUCCCCAGCCGCUCCUUCUCCACGGGGCCGGGCUCCUGGCCCGCACCCCUGCACUGACAGGUCUCCCUCUCCCUCCCUGCAGCCUGGCCACCCAGUACUCCUCUUCCCUGAUCUCACAGCCCACCCGGGAAGGUAAGAGCCUGCCCUGUCUGGCCCGAAGGGAGUGGGGAGAGGCCGGGGACCCGUCUGUGCGGGAGACUGGGGGAGGGGCUCGGGCCUGAGAUUUCCUGUGCCCCCUCCUCCAUCGCCUGCAGCCACAGUGACCACCCGCCAGGUGCGCACCAUUAUGGAGGAAGUCCAGGAUGGCAAGGUGGUCUCCUCCCGAGAGCAGGUCCACCGCUCCACACACUGAGGCCCCUUUCCACCUGUGACAGCCCAGCCUCGAGGGUCACGGGGGAGCCAUCGCCUUGGGCUCCCAGCAUGCUAGUGCCGCACCCUGAGUGCCCAUCUGGGCCACCAGCCAAGAGCUGUUGCCUUUCUGUAUCUGUUUCCUGCAGCCCCUCACCGAGGGUCCUCCUAGAAUUGCCCCAGUGUCUGCUAUUAAAGCUUUGCCUGAAGUUCAA
rnacentral:lncRNA from 1 species